rnacentral:tRNA from 1 species
UCUGGCGUAUUCGAGUGGUACAGAAAACAGACUUUGACUCUGUCGUAAUCCGUCUUGAACGGUAUGAAGGUUCGACCCCUUCCGCCAGAA